GGAGAUGUAGUGCAGUGGUACUGCACUUGCCUAGCAAGCACAAGGCCCUGGGUUUGAUCCCCAGCACCCCUA
rnacentral:tRNA from 1 species